rnacentral:rRNA from 1 species
ACCAGUACCGUGAGGGAAAGGCGAAAAGAACCCCGGCGAGGGGAGUGAAAAAGAACCUGAAACCGUGUACGUACAAGCAGUGGGAGCACAGGUUUACCUGUGUGACUGCGUACCUUUUGUAUAAUGGGUCAGCGACUUAUAUUCUGUAGCAAGGUUAACCGAAUAGGGGAGCCGGAGGGAAACCGAGUCUUAAUUGGGCGUUAAGUUGCAGGGUAUAGACCCGAAACCCGGUGAUCUAGCCAUGGGCAGGUUGAAGGUUGGGUAACACUAACUGGAGGACCGAACCGACUAAUGUUGAAAAAUUAGCGGAUGACCUGUGGCUGGGGGUGAAAGGCCAAUCAAACCGGGAGAUAGCUGGUUCUCCCCGAAAGCUAUUUAGGUAGCGCCUCGUGAAUUCAUCUCCGGGGGUAGAGCACUGUUUCGGCUAGGGGGCCAUCCCGGCUUACCAACCCGAUGCAAACUGCGAAUACCGGAGAAUGUUAUCACGGGAGACACACGGCGGGUGCUAACGUCCGUCGUGAAGAGGGAAACAACCCAGACCGCCAGCUAAGGUCCCAAAGUCAUGGUUAAGUGGGAAACGAUGUGGGAAGGCCCAGACAGCCAGGAUGUUGGCUUAGAAGCAGCCAUCAUUUAAAGAAAGCGUAAUAGCUCACUGGUCGAGUCGGCCUGCGCGGAAGAUGUAACGGGGCUAAACCAUGCACCGAAGCUGCGGCAGCGACACUGUGUGUUGUUGGGUAGGGGAGCGUUCUGUAAGCCUGCGAAGGUGGCCUGUGAGGGUUGCUGGAGGUAUCAGAAGUGCGAAUGCUGACAUAAGUAACGAUAAAGCGGGUGAAAAGCCCGCUCGCCGGAAGACCAAGGGUUCCUGUCCAACGUUAAUCGGGGCAGGGUGAGUCGACCCCUAAGGCGAGGCCGAAAGGCGUAGUCGAUGGGAAACGGGUUAAUAUUCCCGUACUUGGUGUUACUGCGAAGGGGGGACGGAGAAGGCUAUGUUGGCCGGGCGACGGUUGUCCCGGUUUAAGCGUGUAGGUGUGUGUUCCAGGUAAAUCCGGUUCACUUUAACACUGAGGCGUGACGACGAGGCACUACGGUGCUGAAGCAACAAAUGCCCUGCUUCCAGGAAAAGCCUCUAAGCAUCAGGUAACAUCAAAUCGUACCCCAAACCGACACAGGUGGUCAGGUAGAGAAUACCAAGGCGCUUGAGAGAACUCGGGUGAAGGAACUAGGCAAAAUGGUGCCGUAACUUCGGGAGAAGGCACGCUGACACGUAGGUGAAGUGAUUUACUCAUGGAGCUGAAGUCAGUCGAAGAUACCAGCUGGCUGCAACUGUUUAUUAAAAACACAGCACUGUGCAAACACGAAAGUGGACGUAUACGGUGUGACGCCUGCCCGGUGCCGGAAGGUUAAUUGAUGGGGUCAGCGCAAGCGAAGCUCCUGAUCGAAGCCCCGGUAAACGGCGGCCGUAACUAUAACGGUCCUAAGGUAGCGAAAUUCCUUGUCGGGUAAGUUCCGACCUGCACGAAUGGCGUAAUGAUGGCCAGGCUGUCUCCACCCGAGACUCAGUGAAAUUGAACUCGCUGUGAAGAUGCAGUGUACCCGCGGCAAGACGGAAAGACCCCGUGAACCUUUACUAUAGCUUGACACUGAACAUUGAGCCUUGAUGUGUAGGAUAGGUGGGAGGCUUUGAAGUGUGGACGCCAGUCUGCAUGGAGCCGACCUUGAAAUACCACCCUUUAAUGUUUGAUGUUCUAACGUGGACCCGUUACCCGGGUUGCGGACAGUGUCUGGUGGGUAGUUUGACUGGGGCGGUCUCCUCCUAAAGAGUAACGGAGGAGCACGAAGGUUGGCUAAUCCUGGUCGGACAUCAGGAGGUUAGUGCAAUGGCAUAAGCCAGCUUGACUGCGAGCGUGACGGCGCGAGCAGGUGCGAAAGCAGGUCAUAGUGAUCCGGUGGUUCUGAAUGGAAGGGCCAUCGCUCAACGGAUAAAAGGUACUCCGGGGAUAACAGGCUGAUACCGCCCAAGAGUUCAUAUCGACGGCGGUGUUUGGCACCUCGAUGUCGGCUCAUCACAUCCUGGGGCUGAAGUAGGUCCCAAGGGUAUGGCUGUUCGCCAUUUAAAGUGGUACGCGAGCUGGGUUUAGAACGUCGUGAGACAGUUCGGUCCCUAUCUGCCGUGGGCGCUGGAGAACUGAGGGGGGCUGCUCCUAGUACGAGAGGACCGGAGUGGACGCAUCACUGGUGUUCGGGUUGUCAUGCCAAUGGCACUGCCCGGUAGCUAAAUGCGGAAGAGAUAAGUGCUGAAAGCAUCUAAGCACGAAACUUGCCCCGAGAUGAGUUCUCCCUGAGACUUAAAGUCUCCUGAAGGAACGUUGAAGACGACGACGUUGAUAGGCCGGGUGUGUAAGCGCAGCGAUGCGUUGAGCUAACCGGUACUAAUGAACCGUGAGGCUUAACCUU